GGUGGUCUCUGGCCAUCCGAGUUGUAAUCUAGAGAAAUGUUACCCGCGCUGGACCGUGUACAAGUCUCCUGGAAUGGAGCGUCACAGAGGGUGAGAAUCCCGUCUCUGACACGGACUACCAGGGCUUUGUGGUAUGCUCUCAAAGAGUCGAGUUGUUUGGGAAUGCAGCUCAAAAUGGGUGGUAAAUUCCAUCUAAAGCUAAAUAUUGGCGAGAGACCGAUAGCGAACAAGUACCGUGAGGGAAAGAUGAAAAGAACUUUGGAAAGAGAGUUAAACAGUACGUGAAAUUGCUGAAAGGGAAACGCUUGAAGUCAGUCACGUUGGCCAGGGAUCAGCCUCGCUUUUGCGUGGUGUACUUUCUGGUUGAUGGGUCAGCAUCAAUUUUGACCGUUGGAAAAAGGCUUGGGGAAUGUGACAGCUCCGGCUGUGUUAUAGCCCCUUGUCAUAUACAACGGUUGGGAUUGAGGUACUCAAUACGCCGCAAGGCCGGGUUUCGACCACGUACGUGCUUAGGAUGCUGGCAUAAUGGCUUUAAGCGACCCGUCUUGAAACACGGACCAAGGAGUCUGACAUGCAUGCGAGUGUUUGGGUGCAAAACCCGAGCGCAUAAUGAAAGUGAAAGUUGAGAUCCCUGUCGUGGGGAGCAUCGACGCCCAGACCAGAACUUUUGGGACGGAUCUGCGGUAGAGCAUGUAUGUUGGGACCCGAAAGAUGGUGAACUAUGCCUGAAUAGGGUGAAGCCAGAGGAAACUCUGGUGGAGGCUCGUAGCGAUUCUGACGUGCAAAUCGAUCGUCAAAUUUGGGUAUGAGGGGCGAAAGACUAAUC
rnacentral:rRNA from 1 species